rnacentral:tRNA from 1 species
GUGUUUGUGUUCUAGUGGUAGAAUACCUCGUUGCCAUCAAGGUGACCCGGGUCGAUUCCCCGCAGACGCA